CAAUACAGAUACAAAAAUCUUAAUACAAUUUUAAAAAAUCCCAGUUUUCCUAAUCGGUCUGUUUGCAUUCUCCAUUCCAUGCUGUCAUUCCUUUCAUAGCACUGGAUACAACACAGGACUGCUCUCAUUAAAAAUGUAACCACAGCCUGUGUUUACAGAUCUCAGCAACACUUUGGAAGACUCAGAGGAGCAGGAAGGAGCACUGGAGAACAAGAGAGCACUGGAGGCAGAGGAUUCAGGUGACAGUGAUGCUGAACUGGACAGUGAUGGACUCAAAGGAGAGCGGGAGUUGGGAGACAAUAUGAUGGAGAAAAGAGCUGACAUGGAUUCUGAAGUGGUCCUGACACAGUCCAUGGUAGUGAAGAAGGAUGCCCUGUCCAAAAGAUACUACAGAAGUAAGUGU